rnacentral:rRNA from 1 species
UACGGGGGGGGUAAGCGUUGUUCGGAAUUACUGGGCGUAAAGGGCUCGUAGGCGGCCAACUAAGUCGGACGUGAAAUCCCUCAGCUUAACUGGGGAACUGCGUCCGAUACUGGAUGGCUUGGAUUUGGGAGAGGAAUGCGGAAUUCCAGGUGUAGCGGUGAAAUGCGUAGAUAUCUGGAGGAACACCGGUGGCGAAGGCGGCAUUCUGGACCAAUAUUGACGCUGAGGAGCGAAAGCCAGGGGAGCAAACAGG